rnacentral:tRNA from 1 species
GCAGCGGUAUCGAAGUGGUCAUAACGGGACUGACUCGAAAUCAGUUGACAGUUGAUUCUGUCCGUGGGUUCGAAUCCCACCCGCUGCGCCA